rnacentral:rRNA from 1 species
GCGUAAUGAUUUGAGCACUGUCUCGGCAAUAAAUCCGGUGAAAUUGUAGUGCAAGUGAAGAUGCUUGCUACCCGCGGUUGGACGGAAAGACCCCGUAGAGCUUUACUGUAGCUUAGCAUUGAAUUUCGGUAUUGUCUGUACAGGAUAGGUGGGAGACUUAGAAGCGAGGGCGUCAGCUUUCGUGGAGUCGUCCUUGGGAUACCACCCUGACAGUACUGGAAUUCUAACUGGAGGCCAUGAAUCUGGUCACAGGACAUUGCUAGGUGGGCAGUUUGACUGGGGCGGUCGCCUCCUAAAAGGUAACGGAGGCGCCCAAAGGUUCCCUCAGCGCGGUCGGAAAUCGCGCGUAGAGUGCAAAGGCAGAAGGGAGCCUGACUGCGACACAUACAGGUGGAGCAGGGACGAAAGUCGGGCUUAGUGAUCCGGUGGUUCUGUAUGGAAGGGCCAUCGCUCAACGGAUAAAAGCUACCUCGGGGAUAACAGGCUGAUCUCCCCCAAGAGUCCACAUCGACGGGGAGGUUUGGCACCUCGAUGUCGGCUCGUCGCAUCCUGGGGCUGUAGUCGGUCCCAAGGGUUGGGCUGUUCGCCCAUUAAAGCGGCACGCGAGCUGGGGUCAGAACGUCGUGAGACAGUUCGGUCCCUAUCCGCCGUGGGCGUAGGAAAUUUGAGAGGAGCUGUCCUUAGUACGAGAGGACCGGGAUGGACCAACCUCUGGUGCACCAGUUGUUCCGCCAGGAGCACAGCUGGGUAGCUAUGUUGGGAAGGGAUAAACGCUGAAAGCAUCUAAGCGUGAAGCCCACCUCAAGAUUAGAUUUCCCAUAGCGUAAGCUAGUAAGACCCCUGAAAGACUAUCAGGUUGAUAGGUUGGAGGUGUA